rnacentral:lncRNA from 1 species
GAUACAGACUGCUGCUGUGCCAGCUGGGUAGGAUGCUCUGAAAACCUGGAUAGAAGAUUUUUGAUUCCAAAUGUAUCAAACAACAUUGACCAUCACAGUCAGUACAGUUUCAUCACUACCAUUUUUGAGCAGCACCUUCACAUGUGCAGAAUCUGCUAUGUGCCACAGUCCUAGAUUCAGCAUUUUUGAUUUUUGUAAGCUUGUUUGGAAAGGGAAACUUGUUCAUUGGAGGCUCAUGUUCCUUUGGAACUGCACACUGAGGAGCUUUGGAGGUGCGCCAACUUGGAGACUGCAGGUAGGCAAGAUUUCAGGUUAGCUUCUAAUCU